rnacentral:lncRNA from 1 species
CAAAAGCCCCAAAUUUGUUUCCAGCUUUACCCUUUUUUCCUGCUGUGUUUUCUUCCGCGGUUUAAUUUUGUUUCACUAUUGCUUGCUACAGUUCAGUUUCUGAAGGUUAGGGAAGCAAGAUCAAUGUUAUUUCGGAAAAGGGCCAUUUGAUAUUUUUUUUUUAGUGAGCCCACUCAAUUAUCUCACAGAUGGUGUUUUCUUUUUUUCUUUUCAC